CCUACGGGUGGCUGCAGUGAGGAAUAUUGGUCAAUGGACGCAAGUCUGAACCAGCCACGUCGCGUGAAGGAAGACGGCCCUAUGGGUUGUAAACUUCUUUUGUAAGGGAAUAAAGUGCAGUACGUGUACUGUUUUGCAUGUACCUUACGAAUAAGGAUCGGCUAACUCCGUGCCAGCAGCCGCGGUAAUACGGAGGAUCCGAGCGUUAUCCGGAUUUAUUGGGUUUAAAGGGUGCGCAGGCGGGAGAUUAAGUCGGCGGUGAAAUUUUGCAGCUUAACUGUAAAAGUGCCAUCGAUACUGGUUUCCUUGAGUGUAGAUGAAGUAGGCGGAAUUUGUGGUGUAGCGGUGAAAUGCAUAGAUAUCACGAGGAACUCCGAUUGCGCAGGCAGCUUACUAAACUACUACUGACGCUCAGGCACGAAGGCGUGGGGAUCAAACAGGAUUAGAUACCCCAGUAGUC
rnacentral:rRNA from 1 species